GUUGCCAUCUCUAGCCUAUAUUUAGGUGGCAGCUCUGCGGCCAUAUGAUAAAUUACAUGUGUCGGAGUAGAUCUAAUUAAUCUCAAACAUCUUCUGAGGUUAGAACUGCAGCAAGUUCACAAUUUCUGUAAGGCGGAUUUCGAAAUAUUGGAAAAAGAUGAUGCGGCGUAUUCCAUGUUAGCGCGUGCAAAGGCUUUGUAGAGUUGCAAAGCUUUAGUUGGUGUUAUUCCAAAUUUGCAGCCACUCAGAAUGUUGAGGAAUCGACAUGUGUUGUUUGUUUUGUCCACUAUUUGUUUAAUAUGUUGUGUGCACGCCAGAGAAGGUUCAACUACGGACAAGCGUGUGAACUGUCAAGAGCUAACAGAAUCCUAUUAGUGGAUUUCACCACUUUUUGAACAAAGCUGAGUAUUGAAUGAAAAUUAUGCUCAGAAAUAUACAUUGCUAUUACAGACAACAUUUUGAGUUUGGUCCCGUUUCUUAUGAUAACAUACAAGAAAAAAAUCAUCGGCAAACUGGAAUAGUUUACAAUUUUCAUCUAUUAUUGAGUGUAAUUGUGCAGGGUAUAGAUUAAAAAGUGUUGGGCUUAAGCCACUGCCUUGUGUUAAACCAUUAUUAGUGAUAACUUUUUGAUGAUCUAGUUUGAAAUAUCUUCGUUUUAAAAAUGAAAUAAUCCACUCUGUGGCACGAUUCCGAUUACUUUGGCGGCGGGGUAAAAAAAACGAAUUUCCAUAUAAAUGGGGUAUGUGCGGAUAGGGUAGCUUCUCCAGAGGAGGAAUAUCCAAAAAUAAUGUAAAAAUAACUAAUAUUUUUUGAAAUAUUCACGUUUAAAAAUUCAAAAAUAUGCACUAAGAAAACAUGUUAAUUCUCUAUGUUUCUCUAAAUUUUUUCACAUUUUCCUCUUGUUAUAUUUAAAUAUACACUUUAAAGAUUGAAAUAAGUUCA